AUGGACAAGAGUAUGGGUCUGGACAUCGAUGGAGGAGACAUGGAGGAGCUGAUGAGGGAAGCACUUGCUGGACUCCAGAGUGAGCAGCAGAAGCUAAGAGACAAAGAAAAGAGGAAGCCCCUGAAGGAGAUCUCCCGUAUCCUAAAGGAGGGGACUCUCCCUGCAAACAGUAACCUUUCCCUCACCUUCCUGUCCUCCACGCCAGAAAUCACCUCAAGCAAGUGUUAUAGGGCUUUUUCUAGGGCGUGGCACAGAAAGGCUGGAGUCAUGUGGUGUCCCCAUUUCAAUGCUGGUCCCUUUGCUUCAAGUGUGUUCUGUUACUGGCACCUGUGGGUUCACGUUCCAUCAGCAGAAUGUCAUCUUGCUGCCUGCUAAGCACAAGGGUAAGUGUCUUGUCAUUUUUUAUUACUGCGUUGCAUGAAACCAUUUCCCUGCCUAGUGUCCACUUAUCAUCAAAUAUUUAUCUAGAGCAUCUGAAGUACUCCAAACUAUAACACAGAUUUAUAGUCAUUUGCAACUCUUUUAGAGCCACUGACAAAUUAUAAAAAUUUCCUGAC
rnacentral:lncRNA from 1 species